CUAUUAGGACAACGCCUCAAGUGACUGCAUUAAAACAUAAUACCGAAGCACUGACAUAACAGAGAGGUUCAGAAAGGAAUUUAAAGAUUGACUUUUUCGACAAACUUCAUGUUACAAGUCUUAUCGUUUGUGUUUAUAAAUCAUCAGCCUCUCUCUAUAUCUCUAUAUCUCUAUAUCUCUAUAUAUCAGAUAUAAAGAUGCAAGUUUUGAAGUAGACAUUCCGCACAAAGUCUAGUACACCAUGUCUCUUGUGCUCAGGCUGGUUGUCCUGCAAAAAUGUACAACAGGCAAAUGGAUGUUUCAUCAAAGAUGGACUCCUUUGUCUCAUACUUAUUGAUGGCGAAGCUAGAUCCGUUAUCAUCUUGAGAAAACACAUCGUUGUCU